GGAUGUGAGGGCCAUCUCCAGGGUUGAUUCAGCUGUUCUGGCUGGCUAGAUGGGUGUCCCCUUCCUCCCUCACUGCUCCAUGUGUGUUGUUCCUGAAGCUGCAUGCUCGGUUGAAGAGGAAGACCAUCCCCAAUAGAGGAGGACUGGUCUUUGAUCAAGGCUAUAUGAGUAGUUGUGCUCCCCUGCUAGAACCUCCAAGCAAGCUAUCAAGAACUACCUGAGACUGGAUAAUUUAUAAAGAAAAGAAGUUUAGUUGGCUCAUGGUUCUGCAGGCCGUU
rnacentral:snRNA from 1 species